rnacentral:rRNA from 1 species
AUUGAACGCUGGCGGCAGGCCUAACACAUGCAAGUCGAGCGAGAAAGUUCCUUUGGGAGCGAGUACAGCGGCGGACGGGUGCGUAACGCGUAGGAAUCUACCUAGUAGUGGGGGACAACACGGGGAAACUCGUGCUAAUACCGCAUACGCCCUACGGGGGAAAGCGGGGGACCUUCGGGCCUCGUGCUAUUAGAUGAGCCUGCGUUGGAUUAGCUUGUUGGUGGGGUAAAGGCCUACCAAGGCUACGAUCCAUAGCUGGUCUGAGAGGAUGAUCAGCCACACUGGAACUGAGACACGGUCCAG